CGAUCCUAGCUUGCUAGGAGGCGUCGAGCGGCGGACGGGUGAGUAACGCGUGAGAAUCUACCCAUGAGUGGGGGACAACCCGGGGAAACUCGGGCUAAUACCGCAUACGCCCUACGGGGUAAAGCAGGGGACCUUCGGGCCUUGCGCUGAUGGAUGAGCUCGCGUCGGAUUAGCUUGUUGGUGAGGUAAAGGCUCACCAAGGCGACGAUCCGUAGCUGGUCUGAGAGGAUGAUCAGCCACACCGGGACUGAGACACGGCCCGGACUCCUACGGGAGGCAGCAGUGGGGAAUCUUGGACAAUGGGGGCAACCCUGAUCCAGCCAUGCCGCGUGUGUGAAGAAGGCCUUCGGGUUGUAAAGCACUUUCAGCAGGGAGGAAGGCUUACCCCUAAUACGGGUGAGUACUUGACGUUACCUGCAGAAGAAGCACCGGCUAAUUUCGUGCCAGCAGCCGCGGUAAUACGAAAGGUGCAAGCGUUAAUCGGAAUUACUGGGCGUAAAGCGCGCGUAGGCGGUGUGUUAAGUCGGAUGUGAAAGCCCAGGGCUCAACCUUGGAAUUGCAUCCGAUACUGGCACGCUAGAGUGCAGUAGAGGGAGGUGGAAUUUCCGGUGUAGCGGGUGAAAUGCGUAGAGAUCGGAAGGAAACACCAGUGGCGAAGGCGGCCUCCUGGACUGACACUGACGCUGAGGUGCGAAAGCGUGGGGAGCAAACAGGAUUAGAUACCCUGGUUAGUCCACGCUGUAAACGAUGUCUACUAGCCGUCGGGGUCCUUAGUGACUUUGGUGGCGCAGCUAACGAGAUAAGUAGACCGCUUGGGGAGUAUGGCCGCAAGGUUAAAACUCAAAUGAAAUUGACGGGGGCCCGCACAAGCGGUGGAGCAUGUGGUUUAAUUCGAUGCAACGCGAAGAACCUUACCAGGUCUUGACAUCCUCGGAACUUGGCAGAGAUGCCUUGGUGCCUUCGGGAGCCGAGUGACAGGUGCUGCAUGGCCGUCGUCAGCUCGUGUCGUGAGAUGUUGGGUUAAGUCCCGUAACGAGCGCAACCCUUGUCCUUAGUUGCCAGCACGUCAUGGUGGGAACUCUAGGGAGACUGCCGGUGACAAACCGGAGGAAGGUGGGGACGACGUCAGGUCAUCAUGGCCCUUACGACCUGGGCUACACACGUGCUACAAUGGCUGGUACAGAGGGUUGCGAAGUCGCGAGGCGAAGCUAAUCCCUUAAAGCCAGUCGUAGUCCGGAUCGGAGUCUGCAACUCGACUCCGUGAAGUCGGAAUCGCUAGUAAUCGCGGAUCAGAAUGCCGCGGUGAAUACGUUCCCGGGCCUUGUACACACCGCCCGUCACACCAUGGGAGUGGAUUGCACCAGAA
rnacentral:rRNA from 1 species